rnacentral:rRNA from 1 species
GACGAACGCUGGCGGCGUGCUUAACACAUGCAAGUCGAACGAUGAAGCCGGAGCUUGCUCUGGUGAAUUAGUGGCGAACGGGUGAGUAACACGUGAGUAACCUGCCCUUGACUCUGGGAUAACUGCGGGAAACUGUAGCUAAUACCGGAUACGACCCUCGGAGGCAUCUCCUGGGGGUGGAAGGAAUUUCGGUCAAGGAUGGACUCGCGGCCUAUCAGCUAGUUGGUGAGGUAAAGGCUCACCAAGGCGACGACGGGUAGCCGGCCUGAGAGGGUGACCGGCCACACAGGGACUGAGACACGGCCCAGACUCCUACGGGAGGCAGCAGUGGGGAAUAUUGCACAAUGGGCGCAAGCCUGAUGCAGCAACGCCGCGUGAGGGAUGACGGCCUUCGGGUUGUAAACCUCUUUUAGUAGGGAAGAAGCGAAAGUGACGGUACCUGCAGAAAAAGCACCGGCUAACUACGUGCCAGCCGCCGCCGUAA